UGACGACCGUGCUUGCACGGUCUGAUUAGUGGCGAACGGGUGAGUAACACGUGAGUAACCUGCCCCUCACUUCGGGAUAACCUCGGGAAAUCGUGGCUAAUACCGGAUACGAGCACUCAUCGCAUGGUGGGUGUUGGAAAGAUUUAUCGGUGGGGGAUGGACUCGCGGCCUAUCAGUUUGUUGGUGAGGUGAUGGCUCACCAAGACGAUGACGGGUAGCCGGCCUGAGAGGGCGACCGGCCACACUGGGACUGAGACACGGCCCAGACUCCUACGGGAGGCAGCAGUGGGGAAUAUUGCACAAUGGGCGAAAGCCUGAUGCAGCGACGCCGCGUGGGGGAUGACGGCCUUCGGGUUGUAAACCCCUUUCAGUAGGGAAGAAGCGAGAGUGACGGUACCUGCAGAAGAAGCGCCGGCUAACUACGUGCCAGCAGCCGCGGUAAUACGUAGGGCGCAAGCGUUGUCCGGAAUUAUUGGGCGUAAAGAGCUUGUAGGUGGCUUGUCGCGUCUGCCGUGAAAACCCGAGGCUCAACCUCGGGCGUGCGGUGGGUACGGGCAGGCUAGAGUGUGGUAGGGGAGACUGGAACUCCUGGUGUAGCGGUGAAAUGCGCAGAUAUCAGGAAGAACACCGAUGGCGAAGGCAGGUCUCUGGGCCAUUACUGACACUGAGAAGCGAAAGCAUGGGUAGCGAACAGGAUUAGAUACCCUGGUAGUCCAUGCCGUAAACGUUGGGCACUAGGUGUGGGGGACAUUCCACGUUUUCCGCGCCGUAGCUAACGCAUUAAGUGCCCCGCCUGGGGAGUACGGCCGCAAGGCUAAAACUCAAAGGAAUUGACG
rnacentral:rRNA from 1 species